ACUGGAGGUCUCUGUCUGGCUU
rnacentral:miRNA from 1 species